rnacentral:rRNA from 1 species
CGAAGCGUGCGAUUGGAUUGCACGUCUAAGCAGUAAGGCUGAGUAUUAGGCAAAUCCGGUACUCAUUAAGGCUGAGCUGUGAUGGGGAGAAGACAUUGUGUCUUCGAGUCGUUGAUUUCACACUGCCGAGAAAAGCCUCUAGAUAGAAAAUAGGUGCCCGUACCGCAAACCGACACAGGUAGUCAAGAUGAGAAUUCUAAGGUGAGCGAGCGAACUCUCGUUAAGGAACUCGGCAAAAUGACCCCGUAACUUCGGGAGAAGGGGUGCUCUUUAGGGUUAACGCCCAGAAGAGCCGCAGUGAAUAGGCCCAAGCGACUGUUUAUCAAAAACACAGGUCUCUGCUAAACCGUAAGGUGAUGUAUAGGGGCUGACGCCUGCCCGGUGCUGGAAGGUUAAGAGGAGUGGUUAGCUUCUGCGAAGCUACGAAUCGAAGCCCCAGUAAACGGCGGCCGUAACUAUAACGGUCCUAAGGUAGCGAAAUUCCUUGUCGGGUAAGUUCCGACCCGCACGAAAGGCGUAACGAUUUGGGCACUGUCUCAACGAGAGACUCGGUGAAAUCAUAGUACCUGUGAAGAUGCAGGUUACCCGCGACAGGACGGAAAG